GGAGAAUUGCUUGAGCCUGGGAGGUGGAGGUUGCAGUGAGCUGAGAUCACGCCACUGGACUCCAGCCUGGGCGACAGAG
rnacentral:miRNA from 1 species